UACAGAGGGUGCGAGCGUUGUCCGGAAUCACUGGGCGUAAAGGGCGCGUAGGCGGCUUCUCAAGCGUGCGGUGAAAGCUCGGGGCUUAACUCCGAGUCUGCCGUGCGAACUGGGAGGCUUGAGUCUGGUAGAGGUCGAUGGAAUUCCGGGUGUAGCGGUGGAAUGCGUAGAGAUCCGGAAGAACACCGGUGGCGAAGGCGGUCGACUGGGCCAGUACUGACGCUGAGGCGCGACAGCGUGGGGAGCAAACAGG
rnacentral:rRNA from 1 species